rnacentral:rRNA from 1 species
AUUAACGCUAGCGGCAGGCAUAAUACAUGCAGGUUGAACGGCAGCACAGGUAGCAAUACUGGGUGGCGAGUGGCGCACGGGUGCGUAACACGUAUGCAACCUACCCUAUACAGGCGAAUAACCUUUAGAAAUGAGGGCUAAUACGCCGUAGUAUUACAGAUGGGCAUCUAUUUGUAAUUAAAGAUUUAUCGGUAUAGGAUGGGCAUGCGUCCCAUUAGUUAGUUGGUAAGGUAACGGCUUACCAAGACGAUGAUGGGUAGGGG